AACGAACGCUGGCGGCAUGCCUAACACAUGCAAGUCGAACGAGACCUUCGGGACUAGUGGCGCACGGGUGCGGAACGCGGGGGAAGCGGCCCUUAGGUACGGAAUAACUCCCCGAAAGGGGGGCUAAUACCGGAUAAUGUCUUCGGACCAAAGAUUUAUCGCCUUUGGAUGGGCCCGCGUUGGAUGAGCUAGGUGGUAGGGUAAAAGCCUACCAAGGCGACGAUCCCUAGCUGGUCUGAGAGGAGGAUCCGCCACCCUGGGACUGAGACACGGCCCAGACUCCUACGGGAGGCAGCCGUGGGGAAUAUUGGACAAUGGGCGAAAGCCUGAUCCAGCAAUGCCGCGUGAGUGCUGAAGGCCUUAGGGUUGUAAAGCUCUUUUACCCGCGAUGAUACUGACAGUACCGGGAGAAUAAGCUCCGGCUAACUCCGUG
rnacentral:rRNA from 1 species